rnacentral:tRNA from 1 species
GCCGGAGUAGCUCAGCUCGGCAGAGCAACGCACUCGUAAUGCGUAGGUCAGGGGUUCAAAUCCCCUCUCCGGCU